GAAAAGGAAGCAAAAUAGUAGUGUUCAUCCUACAACUGACUUGACUGCUGUGUAAGUAGAGGAAUGCAAGAUCCUCCAUCACAAGAAAAGUAGGUUAUAUCACAUCAAUCAAUCCAACAAAUCAGACACAGCAUUCUUCUUGAAUGCAUCCACCUGAGCCAACAUGUUUGUCAAUCCUUUAUUCGGGAAUAUAUUAUCCGCCUUCAUUCUAUCAGCAAUACCAUAACAAGGAGCUUUGGCAUUUAUAUACGCACGAAUAAGGUAUUGGUACUGAGUAGCUCGGGAAACAUAUCCAGCUUGUCUCAUUCUGUGAAACAUUUUCUCAGUAUUAUGAAUAUCACCUUUCUUUGCAUAUUGGUCCAUAAUCAUCAAAUAAGAAUAAAUCAUUGGCCUCAACCGAUUCUGCUCUCCAGCUUUAUGUAAUAUUGAAUCCGCUUUUUCCACUUCUCCAGCUUCAAUAUAAAGUCUGACUAAGGCAUCCCAAGUCACUGGUCCAAUACGGCAACCACUGUCAGCCAUACGCUUCACAAGGUCCUUUCCUUUUGACAGCAUCUUAUGAUUUGCAUAAAUGUUCAAUAAAACAGAAUAAUGCUUCGAUGACAGUGUUGGCCAUUUUGCUGCCAUCUUUUCAAAUAUUGCCUCCGCCUCCUUAAUAUUAUGCAGUUUUCCCCAAGCAUCUAUAGCAGCCACACAUUCUUCAAGACGAGGAUUAGACUCACAAACGUGCCAAAUUCUAGCAACUUCGUUGGCCCUUCCAAGAGCUGCAUAAUGAGGAAGCAAACUACGACAUGCCCAGCGAGUUGCUUUUUUAUCUCCUCCUUCCAUCUCUUUUAGUACAUUCUCGGCCUUCUCAUUCAGACCACCCGAGAUAUAAUGCUUCACCAAGAUGCUCUUUGUGGUGAGAUCAGGUUCUAGUCCUUCAGCCUUCAUGGUCUCAACAAUUUGCUCCAUUCCAGAUAUGUCGUUGA
rnacentral:misc_RNA from 1 species